GACGAACGCUGGCGGCGUGCUUAACACAUGCAAGUCGAGCGGUAAGGCCCUUUCGGGGGUACACGAGCGGCGAACGGGUGAGUAACACGUGGGUGACCUGCCCUCAGCUCUGGGAUAAGCCUGGGAAACCGGGUCUAAUACCGGAUAUGACUCCAUGACGCAUGUUGUGGGGUGGAAAGCCUUGUGCGGCUGAGGAUGGGCUCGCGGCCUAUCAGCUUGUUGGUGGGGNGAUGGCCUACCAAGGCGACGACGGGUAGCCGGCCUGAGAGGGCGACCGGCCACACUGGGACUGAGACACGGCCCAGACUCCUACGGGAGGCAGCAGUGGGGAAUCUUGCGCAAUGGGCGAAAGCCUGACGCAGCGACGCCGCGUGAGGGAUGACGGCCUGGUGUAAC
rnacentral:rRNA from 1 species